rnacentral:rRNA from 1 species
GACGAACGGCUGGCGGCGUGGAUUAGGCAUGCAAGUCGAACGGUAGGAUACCUUCGGGUAAUCUGAGAGUGGCGAACGGGUGAGUAACACGUAGGUGAUCUACCCUCAAGAUUGGGACAACCCAGGGAAACUUGGGCUAAUACCGGAUGAAAGCAGCAGUGAUGUUGUUUGAAAGGUGGCGUAAGCUGCCGUUUGGGGAUGAGCCUGCGCUCUAUUAGUUAGUUGGCGGGGUAAAGGCCCACCAAGGCGAUGAUAGAUAGGCGGCCUUAACGGGUGGUCGCCCACACUGGGAUUGAGAUACGGCCCAGACUCCUACGGGAGGCAGCAGUCGAGAAUAGUCUACAAUGGCCGAAAGGCUGAUAGUGCGACGCCGCGUGAACGAAGAAGCCCUUCGGGGUGUAAAGUUCUUUUAUAUGUGAGCAGUGCUUUCUAUGUGAACAGCAUGGGGAGAGAGAUAUUAGCAUAUGAAUAAGCAACGGCUAACUCCGUG